rnacentral:ncRNA from 2 species
ACAGAGUGACCGGCGAGCGGUAGCGGAGGAACCCGGUGCGAGUCCGGGACGGUCCCGCCACUGUGACCGGGCCAUCGUGGUGUGCCCGGGAGUCAGGAGACUCCGGCCGCUCUCACCCUUGCCCA